CAAAAAGCGGUCUCAGUUCGGAUUGAAGGCUGAAAUUCGCCUUCAUGAAGCCGGAAUUGCUAGUAAUGGCAGGUCAGCAUACUGCCGUGAAUACGUUCCCGGGCCUUGUACACACCGCCCGUCACACCAUGAGAGUUGGGGAUACCCGAAGCCUGUGAGCUAACUUUUAGAGGCAGCAGUCGAAGGUAGAAUCAAUGAUUGGGGUGAAGUCGUAACAAGGUAAC
rnacentral:rRNA from 1 species